UCUCCGUUGGUGAACCAGCGGAGGGAUCAUUACUGAGUCACCGCUCUACAACCCUUUGUGAACAUACCUAACUGUUGCUUCGGCGGGCAGAGGUCCCUCGCGGAUCUCUCCCGGCAACGCCCUCACGGGCGGAGCGCCCGCCGGAGGAUACCAAGCUCUAUUUUAACGACGUUUCUUCUGAGUGGCACAAGCAAAUAAUUAAAACUUUUAACAACGGAUCUCUUGGUUCUG
rnacentral:misc_RNA from 1 species